rnacentral:tRNA from 2 species
UGCGCCCGUGGCUCAACGGAUAGAGCAUCUGACUACGGAUCAGAAGGUUGGGGGUUCGAAUCCCUCCGGGCGCGCAGA